rnacentral:sRNA from 1 species
CGUGUGAGAAGCAGGCUCAGAUUAUUGCUACUCUGUAUUCAGAUCUGCAUGUGUUUCUUCUAAGCUGAAUAAAGCUGUUUUGGAACUGUCAGGUACCUCAAAGGAGAUGGGGUCUCGCUAUGUUGCCCAAGCUGGUCUCAAACUCCUGGGCUUAAGCUGUCCUCCCACUGCAGCCUCCCCAAGUGCUGGGAUUACAGGCAUGAGCCACAGCACCUGGCCUGGAAUUUAUUAAUAAUAGAGUUAUACAUCCUGAUCUUGUUUCUCACUCCAUUUACAUUUCAGGAAUCAGUGUUACAAGGCAGUUUGAUUAGAGAAAUCUGAAGUACAUUGAAAUUCCAAUUA